ACGAGGCACUACGGUGCUGAAGCAACAAAUGCCCUGCUUCCAGGAAAAGCCUCUAAGCAUCAGGUAACAUCAAAUCGUACCCCAAACCGACACAGGUGGUCAGGUAGAGAAUACCAAGGCGCUUGAGAGAACUCGGGUGAAGGAACUAGGCAAAAUGGUGCCGUAACUUCGGGAGAAGGCACGCUGACAUGUAGGUGAAGUGAUUUACUCAUGGAGCUGAAGUCAGUCGAAGAUACCAGCUGGCUGCAACUGUUUAUUAAAAACACAGCACUGUGCAAACACGAAAGUGGACGUAUACGGUGUGACGCCUGCCCGGUGCCGGAAGGUUAAUUGAUGGGGUCAGCGCAAGCGAAGCUCCUGAUCGAAGCCCCGGUAAACGGCGGCCGUAACUAUAACGGUCCUAAGGUAGCGAAAUUCCUUGUCGGGUAAGUUCCGACCUGCACGAAUGGCGUAAUGAUGGCCAGGCUGUCUCCACCCGAGACUCAGUGAAAUUGAACUCGCUGUGAAGAUGCAGUGUACCCGCGGCAAGACGGAAAGACCCCGUGAACCUUUACUAUAGCUUGACACUGAACAUUGAGCCUUGAUGUGUAGGAUAGGUGGGAGGCUUUGAAGUGUGGACGCCAGUCUGCAUGGAGCCGACCUUGAAAUACCACCCUUUAAUGUUUGAUGUUCUAACGUGGACCCGUGAUCCGGGUUGCGGACAGUGUCUGGUGGGUAGUUUGACUGGGGCGGUCUCCUCCUAAAGAGUAACGGAGGAGCACGAAGGUUGGCUAAUCCUGGUCGGACAUCAGGAGGUUAGUGCAAUGGCAUAAGCCAGCUUGACUGCGAGCGUGACGGCGCGAGCAGGUGCGAAAGCAGGUCAUAGUGAUCCGGUGGUUCUGAAUGGAAGGGCCAUCGCUCAACGGAUAAAAGGUACUCCGGGGAUAACAGGCUGAUACCGCCCAAGAGUUCAUAUCGACGGCGGUGUUUGGCACCUCGAUGUCGGCUCAUCACAUCCUGGGGCUGAAGUAGGUCCCAAGGGUAUGGCUGUUCGCCAUUUAAAGUGGUACGCGAGCUGGGUUUAGAACGUCGUGAGACAGUUCGGUCCCUAUCUGCCGUGGGCGCUGGAGAACUGAGGGGGGCUGCUCCUAGUACGAGAGGACCGGAGUGGACGCAUCACUGGUGUUCGGGUUGUCAUGCCAAUGGCACUGCCCGGUAGCUAAAUGCGGAAGAGAUAAGUGCUGAAAGCAUCUAAGCACGAAACUUGCCCCGAGAUGAGUUCUCCCUGAGACUUUAGGUCUCCUGAAGGAACGUUGAAGACGACGACGUUGAUAGGCCGGGUGUGUAAGCGCAGCGAUGCGUUGAGCUAACCGGUACUAAUGAACCGUGAGGCUUAACC
rnacentral:rRNA from 1 species